UUUAAAAUUUAAGUUGUGUUUCUUAUAAGCCUCCAUAUUGCUAAUACAAAGUAAACAGAUAAUGCAAAAGUUUACAUUGAUCCUGCUCUCAGAAAUGCUAAGUUCGAGGAGUUUUUCACUGAAGUGGCACAUUCUUUUAUCUUUAAAGAAAUAUUUAGAUGUGCUUUAAAGGAGACACUUGCAUGGGCACUUAAAGAAGAGGAUGAAAGCAUUGAAGCAAAUCCAACGAAGUUUGAGGAUGCAACUCGUGUUGGUGGAGUGGACUCUCACAAAUGCACUUUGAUUAUUACCGAAGGAGACUCAGCAAAAGCUCUAGCUCUAGGUUCUGUUCGUAGGGACUACUUUGGAGUUCUUGCAUUGAAGGGUAAGCUACUGAAUGUGAGAGAUGCGUCAUCUUGGACAAUGAGGAAAUUAACAAUAUGAGAAAGAUUAUUGGUUUAGACUACAAAAACACUAUAAUGAUGAAAAAGAUUUGAAGAAUUUGAGAUAUGGUAAAGUUAUGGUCAUGACCGACCAGGAUCCAGAUGGAUUUCAUAUUAAAGGAUUGAUCAUUAACUUAUUUCAUGUUUUUUGGCCUUCCCUUCUGAAGAUUAAAUCUAAAUCCUUUUGUGUGAAUUAGUUACCCCAAUUUUAAAGGUUACGGAUUAUACAAGAGAUUGUCCAAGUCAGGUUUUCUAUACACUAAACGAGUAUACGGCAUGGGAGAAAAGUAAACAUGGGACAGAAUUAAGUAAAUGGUCUAUAAAGUACUAUAAGGCACGAGCACACUUAAGGAAGGGAUGCAAUAUUUCAUAGAUAUUGACAUCCAUCAGAAAUAUUUUGUGUGGGUGAAUGAAGAAGAUGAUAAGGCUAUCAAGACAGCAUUCAGUAAACAUAAAGUGGAGGAAAGGAAGAAAUGGAUUUAUAACUUUCUUCAUAACUGCAAGAAAGUGUACUUCCUCAAACUGGGAAAACAAAAGAAUCCUUGACUUCAUUAAGAAAGGGCUCACAUUAUACAUGGUAUUAGAGAUGCAUCGGUAGAUGGAUUUAAAAAAGGGCAGAGAAAGAUAAUGUUCAGCGCAUUUAAGAAAAAAUUGAACAAGGAAACAAAGGUGGCAAAGUUCGCCGCGUCUGUGGCAGAAUGUUCUGCUUAUCAUCACGGUGAAGGAAAUCUAUCAAACACAAUAGUAAGAAUGGCUCAAGAUUUUGUUGGAAGCAACAAUAUCAACCUUUUGCGUCCCAAUGGGCAAUUUGGUACAAGAUUAGAGGCGAGUUAACAAGCCACUAUGAGAAAACUAGUUGUUAAACAUUUUAUUCAUGCUUGUUUUUCAUUUUUGGCAGGCAAAGAUGCUGCUAGUGCUAGAUAUAUCUUCAUAGAGUUAUCAAGUAUCACUUGCAGGAAAUUUAACGAAAAUGAUGAUAUUCUGCUCGAUUAUCUGUGUGAAGAUGGGCAGUCAAUUGAACCUUCAUGGUAUUUGCCAACCUUCCAAUGAUUUUAGUCAAUGGCGCUGAAGGAAUUGGUACUGGAUGGAGCACAAAGAUUCCUUGUUACAAUCCCAAAGACAUUGUACACAAUUUGAAACUAAAGAUACAGGGAUCAGAGACGUUGGAAGAAAUGAAACCGUGGUUCAGACAUUUCCACGGAGAAGUGAGUGUCAAAAACAAAACUACCAAGACCAAGAAAUCAGGUGUUACCUAUACCGCUAGUGGUAUCAUAAAGGUUGUUGACAAAACUACACUAAAAAUAAGUGAGCUCCCAGUGAAGAUCUCGAUGGAGAA